rnacentral:rRNA from 1 species
AAGACGAGAAGACCCCAUGGAGCUUUAAACCCAAUUAUAUCUCUAACCACUAUAACCAUUUAACCACUUAGAACUUAUAUACUUGGUUUUAGGUUGGGGCGACCACGGAGCACAACCAAACCUCCACGAUGAACGGAACAACCCCCUUAUCUGAGAAUUACACUUCUAAGAAUUAGCACACUAACAUAAAAUGACCCAUUAUUGAUCAACGAACCAAGUUACCCUGGGGAUAACAGCGCAAUCCAUUUUAAGAGCCCCUAUCGACA